CCCCCGAUGGUCUAGUUGGUUCAUGGCGUUCGGCUGUAAUAGCAAUUUAAUUGUAACCGAAAAGUCACCAGUUCGAUUCUGGUUCGGGGGA
rfam:Aspergillus brasiliensis CBS 101740 unplaced genomic scaffold ASPBRscaffold_22, whole genome shotgun sequence.